rnacentral:lncRNA from 1 species
GCGCUACAUAUACUGUUUAUAACAAAGAAUCGAAUUAAGUAUAUCACAACUUUGCUUUUGCCAUUUUCACUAUUGACAGAGAAUAUAGUUGGUAAAAGAUCAUGCAGAAGGCGAAACCCAACAAAAAAAUAGCGUAAGUAUUACUACAGAAAAGAGAAUGAAAACUAUAUUUUAAUGACAUUUGUAAUUCAUAUUUUUAAACAGAUUUAAGGAAUCAUUAUCUGCAUUUCAUUUACUUAAAGAGAUACGUAAGGUACAAAAUGUAUAGUCAAAAUCAUAGACUAGUUCAAAGCAAAUGACAAUACCUUGGCAAAACAAAAUAAAAAAUACAAAAACGAGCGAAAGAAAAAAGAUUGUCAACAAAACACAACAUAAAAACUGAAGACUGACCAACACGAACCACAUAAAAACGGGAUAUUCAGAUCGUUUUCGUCGUAUUUCGCAUAAUUCAGUAGAUCGCAUUCGAAGAAAAAAGGUCGGGUUUAUGGUCACGACUACUGGAACAUAUUCGUCGUCGUCUGUGAAACAGAUAUUUCAUAAAGGUUAACCAACUCCUAAUUUGUUUUUUCUGAUAAAAUGUUCCUCGAUUAUGUAUAACACUUUAUUUUCUGAAUGUAUGACUUUUCAAUGAUGUUCAUCAAGUUAACUAGUCACCAAAGACCAACCGAUGCAAAACACCCCGUAAAAUUCCAAUGAAUGAAAUCUUUAUUUUAAAACCUAAACAUAGAAUGAACAAUUCAAGGAAACGCUAGCUUCUUAACUUGAUUUUUUGUUUUGUUUUUUGUUUAAAAGCAAGCCUGAAAUAAUCUUCGACUGAGUCCAUCAGUAUUUUGAAGUUACGUUUACAAUUGACGGAUUUUAGCUUACGGUAUUUCGGACCUUUUGACGUCACAUUUCGCAGAGAAGUAUUAUUGACAAUGUUUUAUGACGACCAGAAGAGAUAUUUACUUUAAAAGAAAUAUAAAAGGGAAAAACUUCUAUUGAGAAAAUCAAUAAAAAAUAUGAGAAAUGAAUUAAUUCAAAACACAACAAGUUUAUUAUUACGGAAGGGUUCUGACUCAUGCAUAACACAGAUCCCAUAACCGUGUUUACUUUUAAUUCUUGUCCCUACUGGAGUCAACUGUCCUGCAGCGUCAACAUAUAUAUUAGAUUGUUAAUGUUCAAGUAUUUUGGUUGAAAUAAUUGAUGGAAUAUACCAAGGUGACAUUCAAAACUCAUAAGUCGAAGAUAAUGACAAAUACAACGAAAACUUAAAACUGAGCAACGGGAACAACACUUAAAAGUGUGAUGUUCUAAAUUGGCUAUGGAAGGGUAAACGUAUUCUGCUGUCCUGUAAGCAGCAACACUACAUAUAAAUGAUAGGAAAUAUUGUUUGUGUUGAUGUUAUUUUUAUGAAAAAAACUUUUAUGUUAUGAAGUAGACUUGUUCCCAUGUCCAUUCCCAAUUUGAUUGCGAUUGGUCUAAUAUAACAUUUCCCCUUUUUGUUUAGUUACAGAGGCGUUUUUUCUUAAUGAUGCCGAUGAUUAUGUGGAAGUUGAACUGAGUCCGUAAGUUGAUAAUCAUACUAAGGUGUCAGACCACCAAUUACUUCCUCCAAUUUAGAACGUAUGUAAAAGAAGCCCGACUCUGACACAAAAUAGUGCGUUUGAUGUCCUUGUUUACUUAAACCAACCAACAAAUUUGCAGAAAUGAAACUUUUGGUGAAAGAGAAAUAUAUCUAGACCAUUUUGAGCCAAAAUUUACUUGUCUAUGAGUUUGCAAUAAAAAUUGAGGAUUAAUGCGCUCCAUAGUAUACUAAUUUAAGAUUUCCAGAAAACCAGGGUUUAUUUUUGGAGUACCUCUGUUCGAAGGUCAGUUAUUUUGUUAGAAGGCUUAAAGGUAUGGUGAAAAUUGCAUGUAAAAGAUGAUACAUGUACAAUUCAGGAUAUAACUGGUUUCUAUGAAGUUAAACUUAAGGUAAAAUAUUUAGAAAGCUGUGAAAAUUGCAAAAUUUGGUUGAACAGAUAGGGAUUUUUAAUUGGUGGUCUGACACCUACUAAAAGCAUACUAACAUAAGCAUACUAACAUAAGCAUCUGUUGGGUCGGGUUUCAAUGGUAUUUUAGAAUAAGGACAAAGGGCGAUCAUCUCAGAACAAUGUUUCGAAGUUAAGUUUUAGUUCCUUGUAAUAAAUUUGUUAGCUAUUAACUCAUAAGCCUCGGUCACACCUUACCGGAUAGCACGAACGGACGCCUAACGAAUGAAAAUAAAAGUUGUUCGUUGACAAAAUUGUUAUCCGUUGGGAGUCCGUCGAUGUACUGACCAAUUAAAACGGACACACCGGAUAUGCAACGUACAAGAAACGGAAACGUAACGGACAGAACGGAUGUCGAACGAACAUCCAACGGACGAGAAUACCGGAUCUGAAACGGAUAAAUGCGAAUAAAGAAUUCAUGAACCUUAAAAAAUCUAAUUGGCAUUUCUGAGGCGAAAUUUUUUAUUCGCAUUUAUCCGUUUCAGAUCCGUUCAUCAUCCGUUUUAUCCAUUAUACGUCCGGUAGAAGUCCGUUUCACAUUCGUUCAACAUCCGUUUUAUCCGUUAGACGUCCUUUAGAAGUCCGUUGUAGAAUUUAUCUGCCAUACCUCUAACGGAUGUAUAACGUACACGUAACGGAUACAAAACGAAAACGAAACGGACGAGUACCGUAAAAAACGGACGAGUACCGGACGUUCAAGGGACAUUUCAUCCGUUGGACGUCCGUUCAAGUUUUGAACAUGCUCAAAAUUUUCCACCGGACAAAACGGACGUCAACGGGUAAAACGUACGCUAAACGGACAUGAACGGAUUGAAAAAAAGUUAUCCGUUAGGCAUUCGUUCGAGCUAUCCGUUAAGGUGUGACCGAGUCUAUAAAGAAACAUUUUAAUCGGUAUAUUUUAGUUCCGUCUUAAGCUAGUUCAAUCCAUGAUACAAUUAUAUAUUACCAACCUUAUAAAGCUUACAAAUCCGACACUAGAUGUUAGCCUCAUAAAAGUCAAAGAAUUCGAAAUGAUCAUUAUUUUCUAUAUUUUCAAGACAUGGCCAACACAUGGUUCUUUUGCUACAUGGAGU